rnacentral:sRNA from 1 species
UGUUAAUGUUAUGAAUGCACUCGGGUGA